GGAGCCUGAGAAACGGCUACCACAUCCAAGGAAGGCAGCAGGCGCGCAAAUUACCCAAUCCCGACACGGGGAGGUAGUGACAAUAAAUACUGAUACGGGGCUCUUUUGGGUCUCGUAAUUGGAAUGAGUACAAUCUAAAUCCCUUAACGAGGAACAAUUGGAGGGCAAGUCUGGUGCCAGCAGCCGCGGUAAUUCCAGCUCCAAUAGCGUAUAUUAAAGUUGUUGCAGUUAAAAAGCUCGUAGUUGAACCUUGGGUCUGGCUGGCCGGUCCGCCUCACCGCGAGUACUGGUCCGGCUGGACCUUUCCUUCUGGGGAAUCUCAUGGCCUUCACUGGCUGUGGGGGGAACCAGGACUUUUACUGUGAAAAAAUUAGAGUGUUCAAAGCAGGCCUUUGCUCGAAUACAUUAGCAUGGAAUAAUAGAAUAGGACGUGCGGUUCUAUUUUGUUGGUUUCUAGGACCGCCGUAAUGAUUAAUAGGGAUAGUCGGGGGCGUCAGUAUUCAGCUGUCAGAGGUGAAAUUCUUGGAUUUGCUGAAGACUAACUACUGCGAAAGCAUUCGCCAAGGAUGUUUUCAUUAAUCAGGGAACGAAAGUUAGGGGAUCGAAGACGAUCAGAUACCGUCGUAGUCUUAACCAUAAACUAUGCCGACUAGGGAUCGGACGGUGUUUCUAUUAUGACCCGUUC
rnacentral:rRNA from 1 species